rnacentral:rRNA from 1 species
UACAGAGGGUGCAAGCGUUGUUCGGAAUUAUUGGGCGUAAAGCGCGUGUAGGCGGCUUUGCAAGUCGGGUGUGAAAGCCCUCGGCUCAACCGAGGAAGUGCGCCCGAAACUGCAGAGCUUGAGUACCGGAGAGGAUGGCGGAAUUCCCCAAGUAGAGGUGAAAUUCGUAGAUAUGGGGAGGAACACCGGUGGCGAAGGCGGCCCCCUGGUCGGAUACUGACGCUGAUGAGCGAAAGCGUGGGGAGCAAACAGG